rnacentral:rRNA from 1 species
GAAACCAUUUGCUUACAAUCAUUCAGAGCCCUAUGUAGCAAUACAGGGUGAUGGACUGCCUUUUGCAUAAUGAGCCUGCGAGUUGUGGUGUCUGGCAAGGUUAAGCAAACGCGAAGCCGUAGCGAAAGCGAGUCUGAAUAGGGCGCUUAGUCAGAUGCUGCAGACCCGAAACGAAGUGAUCUAUCCAUGAGCAAGUUGAAGCUAGUGUAAGAACUAGUGGAGGACUGAACCCAUAGGCGUUGAAAAGCCCCGGGAUGACUUGUGGAUAGGGGUGAAAGGCCAAUCAAACUUCGUGAUAGCUGGUUCUCUCCGAAAUAUAUUUAGGUAUAGCGUUGUGUCGUAAUAUAAGGGGGUAGAGCACUGAAUGGGCUAGGGCAUACACCAAUGUACCAAACCCUAUCAAACUCCGAAUACCUUAUAUGUAAUCACAGCAGUCAGGCGGCGAGUGAUAAAAUCCGUCGUCAAGAGGGAAACAACCCAGACUACCAGCUAAGGUCCCUAAAUCUUACUUAAGUGGAAAACGAUGUGAAGUUACUUAAACAACCAGGAGGUUGGCUUAGAAGCAGCCAUCCUUUAAAGAAAGCGUAAUAGCUCACUGGUCUAGUGAUUUUGCGCGGAAAAUAUAACGGGGCUAAAGUAAGUACCGAAGCUGUAGACUUGCGCACAACUUAGAUUAUUUAAGUUUAGAAUAUGAGAAACUAAGUUAUAUGUUUAGUUAUAUUUUUACUGAUUUUUAUAGAGUAAAGAUAGAAAUAAAACUUAGUAAAAUCAGUAAAAAUAUUCUUAGACUAAAGUUAAGUAGUUUAAGUUGUGUGCAAGUGGUAGGAGAGCGUUCUAUUUGCGUCGAAGGUAUACCGGUAAGGAGUGCUGGAGCGAAUAGAAGUGAGCAUGCAGGCAUGAGUAGCGAUAAUUAAUGUGAGAAUCAUUAACGCCGUAAACCCAAGGUUUCCUACGCGAUGCUCGUCAUCGUAGGGUUAGUCGGGUCCUAAGUCGAGUCCGAAAGGGGUAGACGAUGGCAAAUUGGUUAAUAUUCCAAUACCAACAUUAGUGUGCGAUGGAAGGACGCUUAGGGCUAAGGGGGCUAGCGGAUGGAAGUGCUAGUCUAAGGUCGUAGGAGGUUAUACAGGCAAAUCCGUAUAACAAUACUCCGAGAACUGAAAGGCUUUUUGAAGUCUUCGGAUGGAUAGAAGAACCCCUGAUGCCGUCGAGCCAAGAAAAGUUUCUAAGUUUAGCUAAUGUUGCCCGUACCGUAAACCGACACAGGUGGGUGGGAUGAGUAUUCUAAGGCGCGUGGAAGAACUCUCUUUAAGGAACUCUGCAAAAUAGCACCGUAUCUUCGGUAUAAGGUGUGGUUCGCUUCGUAUUAGGAUUUACUCCGAAAGCGAAGAAACUUACAACAAAGAGUCCCUCCCGACUGUUUACCAAAAACACAGCACUCUGCUAACUCGUAAGAGGAUGUAUAGGGUGUGACGCCUGCCCGGUGCUCGAAGGUUAAUUGAUGGGGUUAGCAUUAGCGAAGCUCUUGAUCGAAGCCCGAGUAAACGGCGGCCGUAACUAUAACGGUCCUAAGGUAGCGAAAUUCCUUGUCGGUUAAAUACCGACCUGCAUGAAUGGCGUAACGAGAUGGGAGCUGUCUCAAAGAGGGAUCCAGUGAAAUUGUAGUGGAGGUGAAAAUUCCUCCUACCCGCGGCAAGACGGAGAGACCCCGUGGACCUUUACUACAGCUUGACACUGCUAUUUGGAUAAGAAUGUGCAGGAUAGGUGGGAGGCUUUGAGUAUAUGACGCCAGUUGUAUAUGAGCCAUUGUUGAGAUACCACUCUUUCUUAUUUGGGUAGCUAACCAGCUUGAGUUAUCCUCAAGUGGGACAAUGUCUGGUGGGUAGUUUGACUGGGGCGGUCGCCUCCCAAAUAAUAACGGAGGCUUACAAAGGUUGGCUCAGAACGGUUGGAAAUCGUUCGUAGAGUAUAAAGGUAUAAGCCAGCUUAACUGCAAGACAUACAAGUCAAGCAGAGACGAAAGUCGGUCUUAGUGAUCCGGUGGUUCUGUGUGGAAGGGCCAUCGCUCAAAGGAUAAAAGGUACCCCGGGGAUAACAGGCUGAUCUCCCCCAAGAGCUCACAUCGACGGGGAGGUUUGGCACCUCGAUGUCGGCUCAUCGCAUCCUGGGGCUGGAGCAGGUCCCAAGGGUAUGGCUGUUCGCCAUUUAAAGCGGUACGCGAGCUGGGUUCAGAACGUCGUGAGACAGUUCGGUCCCUAUCUGCCGUGGGCGUAAGAAGAUUGAAGAGAUUUGACCCUAGUACGAGAGGACCGGGUUGAACAAACCACUGGUGUAGCUGUUGUUCUGCCAAGAGCAUCGCAGCGUAGCUAAGUUUGGAAAGGAUAAACGCUGAAAGCAUCUAAGCGUGAAGCCAACUCUAAGAUGAAUCUUCUCUAAGCUCUCUAGAAGACUACUAGUUUGAUAGGCUGGGUGUGUAAUGGAUGAAAGUCCUUUAGCUGACCAGUACUAAUAGAGCGUUUGGCUUAUCUUUAAUAAAGCAU